CCAAGCUUGAGCCAAGGAAGACAGAUUGUUCCUGGUUUGUUUAUAAGCUUACAGGGGAGUGGAAACAAUCUUUCCAGCCAAGCUUCCUUGGGCCAGUUGAAGUGAAACCAAGGAUUGUCCACUUAUCUCAGUAAUUAAGGCACAAAGAGACCCAUGCUGUUUGGGUCUGACUUUUCCAAAUCUGAGGGAUGAUGGUUUUAGCAAAUUCAGUGUGGACCAGAUCUUUGAUUCACUGUGGUCAUUCAGUCGUUUCUGAGUCAUUGCUGGACAGCAGAAGCAGACAGCUGAAUCACAGCUCAGAAAACCGUAAUGAGCUGAGCAGCAUUACAGCUUGUUUCGCUUAAUAUUUAUUCUUAAAACAUGACUUCAUUUGUGAUGGCUAUACUUGGAGAUCCAGAUACAAGUCCAGCGUGUUUGCUGUAACAAGUUAAUGCGAUGAAAUAUGGAAAAACCUAUUUGCCUCUGUCUUCAAAAUUUGCACAAAGCUCCUUUCUGGUGAGGAUUGCGUUGCACUGAUCUCUACACAUUUUCCUGGCAUGCAGUGCUGUUUGGCCCUUUAUGGGAUGGGCACAAAGACCCUGUGUCUACCUUCCCAGUGGGCUGCAUAAGAGACCGGGCACAGUGGAGACACAUACAAAGGAAACUUGAAAUUAAACCUAAAGACCUUAUUAGACUCAAAUCACAUAUUUUUGGCAAGAAAAUUGUAUUGUUCAUGCUAUCAAUUGCCUUUUGUGUUAUAUGAGAAGGACCAACUCAGGGAAGAAGUUCAUUGGUACAAACCCCACACCAUGGGACCCCUGGAGGACUAUACCUUAGAAGCAGGGAUGAAAGAGAGGUUUUCCCUUUAUCAAGAAGACCUGAAGCAAAGAGAGGGUGGUGAUCUGUCCAGGUAAGGAAGCUGCUCUUACCUUACAACUUUCGUGGUAUUGCUUGGCCCUUCUAGUCAUCAGAAACGCUCUUUGCUUAGGUUUCACCUUAACACCGUAGUCAAUCAACUGGAUGUUUUUGUUCAAAGUCUUCAUCCAGCUAACUUUGACCUCAAUAGAGAAACAUGGGAGAUGACUGGCUGAAUAGUUUAUUUUUCCCACAAAUGCUUUAGCAUUAUAUAGACAUGGAUGUAGUGUGUCCUCAGGCAUCAUAAGGAACUGACAAUUUUUGGUUUUGAAAAAUGAACUAAACUUGUCCCGAUAAUUUUGCCUGGCACUGCAACUCAAUGAAUAAUUCAGCUAAUUUACACCACAGUCAUUUGUACAUUAUGAGUGUACACGCUUUGAAAGUAUUUCUGUACCUUUGUCAUAUUGCCUAUUAAAUGUGUUCUGAAAAUAGAUACCAUGUGUGAAUGUAAGUCCUUGUUUAAAGAGUAUGUGAAUUGACACCGUGGGACCUCGUGAACAAUCUUUGCCACUUCUACAGAUUAUUUUUAUAUGGCGAUGGCUAGGAAACAGACUCUCCUUUUUAAAGGUUUUGAGAACAAACUUCUCUCAAGUUGAAUAUAUAUGUCUGGACAAGAAUAAGUUUCUUGGUUCUACAGUACUGUUAAACUUUGUACUUAUGUCUUUAUAAUCUAUCAACUGUUUAAAAUUUUUAGGGUUAGUUUAAUAAACAUCCUUGAAGUGUUCACACUAGUUAAGGAAUUCUGUCAGCUGCUCCCUCCUGGGGGUGAGAGUGAGUGGGAGAAGGUGGUGGCAGAGAAAGGAGAGGCAUUGCUGACUCCAGCCCGGAGCUCAGGGUCCUGUUGAUUACUUUCUAUUUCUCUGUCCCAGGGCGUCUGACACAGAGAAAGUGCAUAAGAUGCAGGAAUGAAUCACUGAGUGCCUGGGCUUUCUUAUCAGAACCUGUACAAUUGGCACAAGUACAGAACUAGUUUCUCCUUGGACAUGUUGCCUACUAUGUACACACAUGUCAAAUAUUUUGUUCAAAAUGUUUUUUCUUUUCCAUGCUGUCAUUUAGUAUUGAAAAUUAACAUCUGUGUCAUAUUGUAGGUGACAUGUAACAUUUUUGUUUUGCAUCUAUAUUUUCUACAUUAUAUGUGAUUAUUUUGCAAUAAAAAUGUGAUUGACAUAUUCACCAAAAUUAUCCUGACAUCAACUAGCAAACAUGCCUGCUGAUAUGUGGCCCCAAUCUGUGUCAUGUUCUCCGUAGCCAGUAUCUACAGCAAGGUUUUCAUAGAGAUUUUCUAAGUUGCUUUUUUAUAGGCUGCUAUUUUUUCUGACUUUGAUCUUUAUUUAUUGGUACAAAUUGUCCCUGACUUACCAUGGCUGGACUUACAAUUUUUCAACUUUACUAAGAGUUUAUUGGAAGGUAACGCCAUCGUAAGUCAGGGAGCAUAUGUACCACAAUUGGUUCAGCUUACUAUUAUUUGACUCUACAAUGGCUUCAUUGAAGUAUUGAAUGCAUCUUUAACACACUUCAUUUUCUUCUUAUGGUGGGUUUAUGGGAUGUAACCCAUUCAGAAGUUGAGGAGCAUCCAUAUAUCUAAGGUGUUCUUACUCAUGGGAAUAUGCUCGUCACUGUGCAGCCCCUUCAUAGAGUUCCAACAAACUAUCCACAAUGCAAUUUUAAUACUGUUUUCAGAAUUAUUUUGUAUAUCUGGACAUAAGUCAAUUUUCACAGAAAGAACAUUUAGAUUAUCAUAAAUUGGGCCUUUUCGUAUUUAAUUUCAUACAGAAAACAUAAUGCAUUGCAAUAAACUUGCAUCUUAAAAUCACAAAAGGCCAUAUUCUCAACCCCCUUUUCUCUUUUAUUUAGGUCAGAUUCCUAUCAGUGUGGCUUAUGUAAUAAAAUCUGUUGUUGCCACAGUCCUAUGUCACUCUUUCCAAUAACCUACAGCCCAUCAGUCUCUCUGAGAAGGCUGCCCUGUAGCAAAUCAUUAAAUCCUUUCAAGAACCAAGAAAACAUGGAAAAUAAAUGCAAAAGGAGAAGAUAGCUUAACUCAGGCUGGUGUUUGCAUGAUCAUGGAAACUCAUGUUAUGUUGUUUGGAAUUUUGAACAGGGAAGUUGGAGGAUGGAAACGUGCAAUCCUCUUAGAUGGUGAAACUAACUUGUAUCAGGAAUUUAUACCAGGUGCGGCAUUGAACUGAGCUGGAUUUCCAUACAACAACCUGGGAAGUGAGCCUGCCAAGAGGAUGAACACCUAGAUAAUGGACCUACAGUUCACUCAGACUCAAAAUAAGGAUUUAGGCGAGUGUUGUGUUGCUACUAUUUGUUUUCAGUUACUCCCACAAAUGGACAGGUAACCACUCAGCUAGAGAUCCUAGGGUGGCUGAGAAGGACGAGGAAGGCACAAAAAUCCCUGUGGGGAUGGCCAAAAGAGUUUUCCCAUGGGCUCUUACACUGAGAACUUUACUCCUUUAUAGUCUGAACAGCAGACAGCUCAGAGGUCAAAGGAAACUGCCCCUUCUGUGGAAAGGACUCCAUGCAUGUGUCUUUGUGCCUCUUCCUGGUCCUUCAUCUCUGUCUGUGGGUACCUUUCUUUCCAUCACAAUCAUCCUCUGGAUCACAUACUACACAGGACUCAUAAGGGUGCAGAGGGUCAGGGAUGCUGGAAAUGUCACCCAACAGCAAGGUGAUAGAGUUCCGGACAGAAUUUGAAUGGUACUUUCUAUGGCUCAUGUCUCUCGGUUUUCUGCAGUCCUUGCUGAGUUUCUUAAUCCAGUGUCUGGAGACCUCCAAGGUCAAAUGCAUGCACAUUUAAAUUUAAAUUCUAGGUGUAAAUAAAGGUAAUUUCUAGAUUUGCUUCCAUCUUGAUUUUCCAUGUCAUAGUUCUAUUCAAUUAGCAUAAGUAACUCAGAGGUGACAGUCAUGUAGAGAAUGUACUGAUGGGUGAUUUUGAUUUUUGUUAUUUUCCUACAGUGUUAAAGACCUGGAAGCUUUUUAAUAAUAGUAAAAAGUGCGCAACCAAAAAUUAUUGUGUUUUUUUUUUUUGAGAAAUGAUGCCAUUAUUUCACAUGAAUGCUCUACUUAAAAAUAGAGGUAGAGAAUCCAGGGAAAAAAAGACCCAGGAAGGUAACCUUUAAUUUGAAAUUGGAUGCAUUGUGAUACUUGUG
rnacentral:lncRNA from 10 species